rnacentral:rRNA from 1 species
UACGUAGGUGGCUAGCGUUGUCCGGAUUUACUGGGCGUAAAGAGCGCGCAGGCGGUCGUUCAAGUCGAGUGUGAAAGCCCCCGGCUCAACUGGGGAGGGUCACUCGAUACUGAUCGACUUGAAGGCGGGAGAGGGAAGCGGAAUUCCCGGUGUAGUGGUGAAAUGCGCAGAUAUCAGGAGGAACACCGAUGGCGAAGGCAGGUCUCUGGGCAUUAACUGACGCUGAGGAGCGAAAGCAUGGGGAGCGAACAGG